AAUGCCAGGGGAUGGUGGGGAGGAACUCACAAGCUGAUCCAAGCAGAAGUGGCUGGAACACUCAGCUUGCCCAAGGACAGAGCAGGCUGGGAAUCUCUCCCAACAGCCUCUCCCAAGAAACACUCAGAGCCUUCUACUCUGGAGUGCAGGACGCAAGCAUAGCACAUCACAAGGGCCAGAACUUCCAGAGUAGGAGGCUUCCUCACGCUAGCAAUUCUGGAAAUUCCACCAUUAUUAGUAUGAAAGGUGAAAGUGAAAUGCCCAACUUUCAAUAACCAGUCCUGGGGGACUCCCGCGAGCAAAACGGUGGAGAGAAGAGAAGCAGCAGAGACGUGUCCCCUGUCCCCAGCACGGCACCGGACACUGUCUGGAAGGCUGGAGCGUCAGCAAGGCUGAUUCGAACCCAAGACCUCCGGUGCCAUCCUCGGCCGGGCCCUGGGAGGGGGCGCGCACCCGGCUGCGCAGAGCGCUCCCCGCGGGGCCUGCGGCGCCGGGCUCGGGCCUCGCGCCUCCCUCAGCUCCCUCCCCGCCCCCCUCCGCC
rnacentral:lncRNA from 1 species